rnacentral:rRNA from 1 species
CAGCAGCCGGCGUAAUUCCAGCUCCAAYAGCGUAUAUUAAAGUUGCUGCAGUUAAAAAGCUCGUAGUUGGAUUUGUGGCGCGGUCGUCCGGCGGGGCUUCCGGGUUCGUUGUAUCCCGGGGCCGUUUGUCUGGGUUCUUGGCCGCCCCAUUCUUCGGUAGCGUGUCGCUGGCAUUAGGUUGUCGGCUUCUUCGCGCCGAUCGUUUACUGUGAAAAAAUUAGAGUGUUCAAAGCAGGCUUAGGCCGUUGGAUACAUUAGCAUGGAAUAAUGAGAUAGGGCCACGGCGGUCUAUUUUGUUGGUUUGCACGUUGUGGUAAUGAUUAACAGGAACGGUUGGGGGUAUUCGUAUUCAAUUGUCAGAGGUGAAAUUCUUGGAUUUAUGGAAGACGAACUACUGCGAAAGCAUUUACCAAGGAUGUUUUCAUUAAUCAAGAACGAAAGUUAGGGGAUCGAAGAUGAUUAGAUACCAUCGUAGUCUUAACCAUAAACUAUGCCGACUAGGGAUUGGCGGUCGUUAACUUACAGGACUCCGUCAGCACCUUCCGAGAAAUCAAAGUCUUUGGGUUCCGGGGGGAGUAUGGUCGCAAGGCUGAAAACUUAAAGAAAUUACGGCACGGG